AUCAGUCUAUGUUAGGAAGCCAAACUAAUCUGUGGUGAAACUGUCUCUACCGAAGUUAAGUCUGACAGAUGUUCAAAGUCCAGGAUUUACUGUCUCGAAGUGAUACUGUACAGUACCGGCCUUCUGUUGUAUUAACUUCCAUACUAGUUCUGCGCUAUGAUUUUCUUACCAUCCCCACCCCCAUUAAAAAAAGUGCGCUAACGGCGCUAGCUUGGACUGCUCGGUGAUAAUUACUGAUUCCAGCCAAAGAGUGUUAAUGUUAACAUGAUAAAGAACAAGGCGAGCUGUAACUGUGGAACUGUAAGGAGCUGAAAUCAUCAGGAGGAUUACUGAGACGAUUAGGAGGACAUCCACCACUAUGAUUCUUUCACUCGGUGUGUUAAAGCACACUGAGGUCGGGGUCCAGUGACUGUGUGGACAGCUACCUGUUGCUGCAGUGCUUCUCAGCUGCAGAGUGACUGAUGGCCUCCAGGAAACAGUUUGUAACAAGGUUCCUGACCUGUGACUUCUCCCUCUGAUUUAUCCAGCAUGUCUGUACUCAUCAUCGCUUCCCGGUUCCAGAUUUGGUGUCAGUGUAUUUGAGCAGCACAAAGGCAGCCCUUGCUUGCUGACACGCGUCUGCUAAGAGAGUAACUGUGAUAUUUACUGAAGUCCAGGAGGGUGCAUCAGUGAGAGACACAAACAGUGGACGUGAGCACAGGAGGAAGACAGGAAUGAAGAACUCUCAGCAGAGAAAAUGAGGAUAAAUGGAUGUCAAUCUCCAUGUGGAAUUGACUGCACUGUGGAUGGCUCAGUACACAGGCAAGACAAGGACAGCUCUCUGCACUGCUAAGAGUCAGGAACUGUCCCCCGAUUGUGGAUCCUACCUGUGACUGUACAUUGGCUCCGACUUGUGCCCCUUGAAUCCAGCUGAAACUCUUCAUCUUUCAUCUGGAAUCCUGGGUGCAAGAAAAAGGGACCACUUCAUAAGCUUACCACACCCGACGCAGGUCAACCAAGUCCAAACCCAGCAUUACAUUACUCAUUAAAGAAACAUGCCCUUUAAGGCUCCCUAUGUCUGUAUGACUCUUAUUCAAUGUGAAAUGCAUAUUUUGAUAUUCUGUUACUGUAACUAAAAUGCUCCCAGCAAUCAUGUUUCACUUUUAUUUUGCAGAAAAACAGCACUACAAUUCAGUGGGACUACAUACCAUUACAUUACAAAUGACAGGA